CGCGUAGGUAACCUGCCUGGUAGCGGAGGAUAACUAUUGGAAACGAUAGCUAAUACCGCAUAAUAGCAGUUGUUGCAUGACAACUGUUUGAAAGGUGCAAUUGCACCACUACCAGAUGGACCUGCGUUGUAUUAGCUAGUUGGUGGGGUAACGGCCCACCAAGGCGACGAUACAUAGCCGACCUGAGAGGGUGAUCGGCCACACUGGGACUGAGACACGGCCCAG
rnacentral:rRNA from 1 species